AUCCCCAGGUUCAAAGAACAGAAAGAUAAUGAAAAAGAAGUAAGAGAUGAACUUGAUGAAGAUGAAGAGUGGUAUUGAUGGAUGUCACUGAUGAGGUUGAUGUUUGCUACUUAUAUUUUAAUUUUCAUCACCCUAUUUUAUAGUUUGCUGUUGUGUUCUGCAAGAAUAGUGACAAACAAAUACAUAUGCUGGAGAGGUAUCAAAUAGUCAGUUUGUGUGCUACUUAUGUUAUGGCUGAGUAAAGAUGACAUAUUUUACUGAAGAAUUUGAGAAAAAUUACAAUCUCUUAAUAGAAAGUUUGAACUUGAACUUGAAGUAGUGAUAAGAUGAUUCAGAAAGUAUUGAAAGGGUCACUCAGGAGGUAUUGACUGGAUAACACGGGACGGUAUUGACCAGAUUAUUCAGGAGGUAUUGACCAGAUUAUUCAGGAGGUAUUGACCAAAUGAUUCAGGAGGUAUUGACCAGAUUAUUCAGGAGGUAUAGACCAGAUUAUUCAGGAGGUAUUGACCAGAUUAUUCAGGAGGUAUUGACCAAAUGAUUCAAGAGGUAUUGACCAGAUUAUUCAGGAGGUAUUGACCAAAUGAUUCAAGAGGUAUUGACCAGGUUAUUCAAGAGGUAUUGACCAAAUGAUUCAGGAGGUAUUGACCAGAUUAUUCAGGAAGUAUUGACCAAAUGAUUCAAGAGGUAUUGACCAGAUUAUUCAGGAGGUAUUAACCAAAUGAUUCAAGAGGUAUUGACCAGAUUAUUUAGGAAGUAAUGACCAGAUGAUUCAAGAGGUAUUGACCAGAUUAUUCAGGAGGUAUUAACCAAAUGAUUCAAGAGGUAUUGACCAGAUGAUUCAGGACAUAUUAACAGCAUCAUUCAGGAGGUAUUGACCAAAUGAUUCAGGAGGUAUUAACAGAAUCAUUCAGGAGGUAUUGACCAAAUGGUUCAAGAGGUAUUGACCAAAUGAUUCAGGAUGUAUUAACAGAAUCAUUCAGGAGGUAUUGACCAACUGGUUCAAGAGGUAUUGACCAGAUUAUUCAGGAGGUAUUGACCAAACGAUUCAGGAGGUAUUGACCAGAUGAUUCAAGAGAUAUUGACCAAAUGAUUCAGGACGUAUUAACAGAAUCAUUCAGGAGGUAUUGACCAAAUGGUUCAAGAGACAUUGACCAGGUUAUUUAGGAGAAUUGACCUGAUGAUUCAAGAGAUAUUGACCAGAUGAUUCAGGAGGUAUUAACAGCAUCAUUCAGGAACUAUUGACCAAAUGAUUCAGGAGGUAUUGACCAGAUGAUUCAGGAGGUACUGACCAAAUGAUUCAGGAAGUGUUUACAAGAUGACUCAGGAGGUACUGACCAUAUGAUUCAGGAGAUAUUGACCAUAUGAUUCAGGAGAUAUUGAUCAUAUGAUUAAGGAGAUACUGACCAUAUGAUUCAGGAGAUAUUGACCAGAUGAUUCAGGAGAUAUUGACCAGAUGAUUCAGGAGGUACUGACCAUCUGAUUCAACAGGUAUUGACCACAUGACCAGGUAAUUCAGGAGGUACUGACCAGAGGAUUCCAUGAGUAUUGACAGGAUGAAUCACAAGGAAAUGACCAGAUGAUUGAAAAGGUAUGGACAAUGUGAUUGAGGAGGUACUGAACAGAUGAUUCAAUAAGUAUUGACAGGAUGAUUCACAAAGUAUAUACAGGUAUUGACAAAAUAUAUUAGCAGAGAUUGUUUUGAGGUACACUUAUUUAAGAUA